ACUGCAAGUCGGACGAAUCCCGGGGCAACCCGGGGGAAGUGGCGAAAGGGGCAGUAAGGCGUGGGUGACCUACCCCGGGGUCCGGGAUAGCCGUCCUAACGGGCGGGUAAUACCGGGCGUCGAGCGCAAGCUUGAAAGGUUUACCGCCCCGGGAGGGGCCCACGUGAUAUUAGCUCGUUGGCGGGGUAACGGCCCACCAAGGCUGAGAUGUCUAGCGGGUGUGAGAGCACGACCCGCGCCACUGGCACUGAGACACUGGCCAGACACCUACGGGUGGCUGCAGUCGAGGAUCUUCGGCAAUGGGCGCAAGCCUGACCGAGCGACGCCGCGUGUGCGACGAAGGCCUUCGGGUUGUAAAGCACUUUGGCGGGGGAGGAAGGGGCAACCUUGACCUAUCCCGAGAACAAGCACGGGCUAAGUUCGUGCCAGCAGCCGCGGUAAGACGAACCGUGCGAACGCUGUUCGGAAUCACUGGGCUUAAAGGGCGCGUAGGCGGGCCGCGAGGUCCGGGGUGAAAGCCUCCCGCUUAACGGGAGAAGUGCCCCGGAUACCGGCGG
rnacentral:rRNA from 1 species